rnacentral:ncRNA from 1 species
UGUAGAAAUUUUAUAUGAAUUCCUAAUUUAAAUAGGAAGGGUGCACUCUGCAUGAAUUUUGAAAGAGAAUUGGGUUAAUAUUCCCGAACUGGGACAUGGUGGUGGACGACAAUGUUAGGAAAUCUAGAGAUGUCAUAGGGGGUCUGAGAAGAGUUAUAUUUUAUUUUUAAUGAAUUUCCCACCCUGAAAUAGGUUCAACUGGAGAUAGGGUCCAACAUCUGGAAGAGCACCACACGUCUUGCGGUGUUUGGUGCCCCCUCGGCGGCCAUUGAAAAUAUGGAGAACCGAGUACCAUCCAUGCCCGAUCGUACUCAUAUCUGCCUCC